rnacentral:rRNA from 1 species
ACGGGAGGCAGCAGUGGGGAAUAUUGCACGAUGGGGGAAACCCUGAUGCAGCGACGCCGCGUGAGUGAAGAAGUAUUUCGGUAUGUAAAGCUCUAUCAGCAGGGAAGAAAAUGACGGUACCUGACUACGAAGCCCCGGCUAACUACGUGCCAGCAGCCGCGGUAAUACGUAGGGGGCAAGCGUUAUCCGGAUUUACUGGGUGUAAAGGGAGCGUAGACGGCGAUGCAAGUCUGAUGUGAAAGCCCGGGGCUCAACCCCGGCACUGCAUUGGAAACUGUGUUGCUAGGGUGCAGGAGAGGUAAGUGGAAUUCCUAGUGUAGCGGUGAAAUGCGUAGAUAUUAGGAGGAACACCAGAGGCGAAGGCGGCUUACUGGACUGUAACUGACGUUGAGGCUCGAAAGCGUGGGGAGCAAACAGGAUUAGAUACCCUGGUA